rnacentral:tRNA from 1 species
GCCCUGGUGGCACAGUGGUUAAGUGCUCAACUUCCAACUGAAAGGUUGGUAGUUUGAAUCCACCCAGUGGCU